rnacentral:rRNA from 1 species
ACGAACGCUGGCGGCGUGCUUAACACAUGCAAGUCGAACGGUGAAGCGCCUUCCUUUUUGGUGGGUGUGGAUGAGUGGCGAACGGGUGAGUAACACGUGAGUAACCUGCCCCCUUCUUCUGGAUAACCGCAUGAAAGUGUGGCUAAUACGGGAUAUUCUGGGUCUGUCGCAUGAUUGGUCUGGGAAAGAUAUUGUUUCGGUGGGGGAUGGGCUCGCGGCCUAUCAGCUUGUUGGUGGGGUGAUGGCCUACCAAGGCGGGGACGGGUCGCCGGCCUGGGAGGGUGGCCGGUCACACUGGGCCUGAGACCCGGUCCAGACUCCUGCGGGAGGCAGCCGUGGGGAAUAUUGCACAAUGCGCGCGAGUCUGAUGCAGCGACGCCGCGUGCGGGAUGGAGGCCUUCGGGUUGUGAACCUCUUUCGCCAGUGAAGCAGGCCUGCCUCGUUUGUGGGUGGGUUGACGGUAGCUGGAUAAGAAGCGCCGGCUAACUACGUG